UACGGAGGGGGCUAGCGUUGUUCGGAAUCACUGGGCUUAAAGCGUGUGUAGGCGGGUCGUUAAGUACCUUGUGAAAUCCCACGGCUCAACCGUGGAACUGCUUGGUAUACUGGCGGAUCUUUGAGCCACCUAGGGGCGAGCGGAACAAGUGGUGGAGCGGUGAAAUGCGUAGAUAUCAGGAGGAACACCGAUGGCGAAGGCAGGUCUCUGGGCCGAUACUGACGCUGAGGAGCGAAAGCGUGGGGAGCGAACAGG
rnacentral:rRNA from 1 species